AAAACUUCCAUUUAAGAGAAGAG
rnacentral:snRNA from 1 species